rnacentral:rRNA from 1 species
AUUGAACGCUGGCGGCAGGCCUAACACAUGCAAGUCGAGCGGAAGAAGCGAGCCUGCUCCUGCAUUGAGCGGCGGACGGUUGAGUACUGCCCAGGAAUCUGCCUGGAAGUGGCGGAUAACGUCCGGAUACGGGCGCUACUCCCGCAUACGACCUGUGGUCGAAAGUGGGUGAUCUUCGGAUCUCACGCUAUCUGAUGAGCCUAGGUCGGAAUAGCUAGGUGGUGGGGUAACGGCCUACCAAGGCGACGAUGCGUAACUGGUCUGAGAGGAUGAACAGUCACACUGUCACAGAGGAACGGUAGAGACACCGACGGUAGGCAGCAGUGGGGAAUAUUGCAGGAUGGACGAAUGCCGAAUCCAGCCAUGCCGGGGGUGUGAAGAAGGUCUUCGGAUGGGAGAGCACUUUAGGUUGUGGGGAAGGGCAGUAAGUUAAUACCGUGCUGUAUUGACGUUACCAGCAGAAUAAGCACCGGCUAACUUCGUG